AGCAAUGUGUGGCAUACGGCUCAGUAACACGUAGUCAACAUGCCCAGGGGACGUGGAUAACCUCGGGAAACUGAGGAUAAACCGCGAUAGGUCACUACUUCUGGAAUGGGUAAUGACCCAAACCUAUAUGGCCCCUGGAUUGGACUGCGGCCGAUCAGGCUGUUGGUGAGGUAAUGGCCCACCAAACCUGUAACCGGUACGGGCUCUGAGAGGAGGAGCCCGGAGAUGGGCACUGAGACAAGGGCCCAGGCCCUAUGGGGCGCAGCAGGCGCGAAACCUCUGCAAUAGGCGAAAGCUUGACAGGGUUACUCUGAGUGAUUUCCGUUAAGGAGAUCUUUUGGCACCUCUAAAAAUGGUGCAGAAUAAGGGGUGGGCAAGUCUGGUGUCAGCCGCCGCGGUAAUACCAGCACCCCGAGUGGUCGGGACGUUUAUUGGGCCUAAAGCAUCCGUAGCCGGUUCCACAAGUCUUCCGUUAAAUCCACCUGCUCAACAGAUGGGCUGCGGAAGAUACUAUGGAGCUAGGAGGCGGGAGAGGCAAGCGGUACUCGAUGGGUAGGGGUAAAAUCCGUUGAUCCAUUGAAGACCACCAGUGGCGAAGGCGGCUUGCCAGAACGCGCUCGACGGUGAGGGAUGAAAGCUGGGGGAGCAAACCGGAUUAGAUACCCGGGUAGUCCCAGCUGUAAACGAUGCAGACUCGGUGAUGAGUUGGCUUUAUGCCAACUCAGUGCCGCAGGGAAGCCGUUAAGUUUGCCGCCUGGGGAGUACGGUCGCAAGACUGAAACUUAAAGGAAUUGGCGGGGGAGCACCACAAGGGGUGAAGCCUGCGGUUCAAUUGGAUUCAACGCCCGG
rnacentral:rRNA from 1 species